GAUGAACGCUGGCGGCGUGCCUAAUACAUGCAAGUCGAGCGAACAGACGAGGAGCUUGCUCCUCUGACGUUAGCGGCGGACGGGUGAGUCACACGUGGAUAACCUACCUAUAAGACUGGGAUAACUUCGGGAAACCGGAGCUAAUACCGGAUAAUAUAUUGAACCGCAUGGUUCAAUAGUGAAAGACGGUUUUGCUGUCACUUAUAGAUGGAUCCGCGCCGCAUUAGCUAGUUGGUAAGGUAACGGCUUACCAAGGCAACGAUGCGUAGCCGACCUGAGAGGGUGAUCGGCCACACUGGAACUGAGACACGGUCCAGACUCCUACGGGAGGCAGCAGUAGGGAAUCUUCCGCAAUGGGCGAAAGCUUGACGGAGCAACGCCGCGUGAGUGAUGAAGGUCUUCGGAUCGUAAAACUCUGUUAUUAGGGAAGAACAAAUGUGUAAGUAACUAUGCACGUCUUGACGGUACCUAAUCAGAAAGCCACGGCUAACUACGUG
rnacentral:rRNA from 1 species